rnacentral:rRNA from 1 species
AACGAACGCUGGCGGCAUGCCUAACACAUGCAAGUCGAACGAGACCUUCGGGUCUAGUGGCGCACGGGUGCGUAACGCGUGGGAACCUGCCUUUAGGUUCGGAAUAACUCAGAGAAAUUUGAGCUAAUACCGGAUGAUGUCUUCGGACCAAAGAUUUAUCGCCUUUAGAUGGGCCCGCGUUGGAUUAGCUAGUUGGUGGGGUAAAGGCCUACCAAGGCGACGAUCCAUAGCUGGUCUGAGAGGAUGAUCAGCCACACUGGGACUGAGACACGGCCCAGACUCCUACGGGAGGCAGCAGUGGGGAAUAUUGGAAAAUGGGCGAAAGCCUGAUCCAGCAAUGCCGCGUGAGUGAUGAAGGCCUUAGGGUUGUAAAGCUCUUUUACCCGAGAUGAUAAUGACAGUAUCGGGAGAAUAAGCUCCGGCUAACUCCGUG